rnacentral:misc_RNA from 1 species
AUGUAACAUUCUCAGAUGAUAUAUAUAUAUAGGCUAAAACUUAGUUCCAUUAUUUAAAAAAACAGAGCAUCCUAGCUACAACGCUAGAGAAUCCUGCAGCAUCGGUCCCUUUACAGAAACAGUGAGAGACGGGCAACGAAAUGCGAACGGACUACACGUGACGACCUGGAUUCAUGGAGAAUGAGGAGGCUGUGAGGCCGACGACGACAGAUGAUCGUCUCCGAGCAGCAGGGACUUGACAAUGAUGUCAGCCAUCCCCUCGGCGAUCGGGAAGAGAUGUCCCGACUUGGGGAGCUCGUGGUAGACGACCCACGGCAGCUUCUGGCUGAUGUACCUGGACAGGCUGACCGGCACGAUGAGGUCCUCGGCGCCGUGCCACAGGUACACCUUCACCUCGUCUUGGCCGCCGGCGAACGGGUUCUCCAUCUCCAGCGGGCUCCAGUCCCACUUCCCGAAACCGACCAUCAUGUCGCGGUGGAGCGAGUCGUGCUCUCCCUGCUGUCUGACCUGCUU